rnacentral:lncRNA from 1 species
UUUAAACUCGGUGAGCUCGAGCUCGUUUAAGCUCGUCUGAUUAAUGCUUCAACAUGUUGUGGUUUGUCGGAUUGAGAAUGUGCCAAAUACACAAAGUAAACAACGAGCAAGAACACCAAAAUUACGUGGUUCGAUCUUUCGAUCUACGUCCACGGAGUAACCAAGAAUUUCACUACUAGAUCACUCAAACAAUUUACAAGUUACAAUAAUGGAAAAUCAAAAACAAGAAAACCGAAAGAGUAAGCUAUUUAAAUCACCAAACAAGAAGCUCAAUUUCACUCUCUUUCUAUCUCUAUUUUUUGCUAAACAAACUGUAACGAAUCAACCACAAUACAGCUGGGAAAGUAAGGAAUUUAUAUGUGAGAGAAGAAGAAUGAACCUAGACGCAUAUUCUAAAAAACAGAUACACAAGCACAACUUUUAGCGUGAGUUCAGUCGGGGCUAAGAGGGGUUGAAGUAGGGAGAGCAGCGGUGGCGGCUGAUGGGCUGCUGUUGUUCGAACUGAAGGAGAAGGGGGCGACGAUUUUGACGGCCACAGGCUGUCCGGCGAGGGAGGGAGAAGAAGGCGGCGACGCAGCCGCUGUCGUCGACUGUGGUGGUAGGCGGCGUGGGUGAGAAAAGAGGAAAAGGAGAAAAUUAGGGAUUUGGGAGAAGGGAAUUUUAGGGAUUCAAGGCGUGGAGAGUCAGGAUAGGAAGGAGAGGUGGUGGCCGGCUGGAGAAACGGCGGCGACGGCCGCCGGAGUUGCAGGAGCAGCCAGGCCGUGCGCGGGAGGGAGAGAUGAGACAGGGAGAGGGAGGGUCGAGCGAUGGAAAAGGAAAGCCAAAGGCGGCGGCUCUGUGCUGCACUGCUGCUGUUGUUAGGCUCGCCGGAAGAAAGAGCCGCCGUCGCGCCGAGUGCCGGGGUGUGCGUCAGCGGUCGCUGGUCGCCAGUCAGUCGAGAGAGAAAUGGGAGAUUGGGGGCGUCUGCUAAUCUGAAAUAGGACUUAGGGUUUUGUUCAAUUAUUGUAUAAUUCAAAUGUUACAAUGGGCUUAGGGUUUGGGGAUUGGGCCAUCUUUGUGGAUUUGAAAUAUAUUUAAGUUUGGGCCUACAUAUAAUAUAUUAUAUAU